rnacentral:rRNA from 1 species
GACGAACGCUGGCGGCGUGCCUAAUACAUGCAAGUAGAACGCUGAAGAGAGGAGCUUGCUCUUCUUGGAUGAGUUGCGAACGGGUGAGUAACGCGUAGGUAACCUGCCUUGUAGCGGGGGAUAACUAUUGGAGACGAUAGCUAAUACCGCAUAACAAUGGAUGACACAUGUCAUUUAUUUGAAAGGGGCAAUUGCUCCACUACAAGAUGGACCUGCGUUGUAUUAGCUAGUAGGUGAGGUAAUGGCUCACCUAGGCGACGAUACAUAGCCGACCUGAGAGGUGGAUGGCCCACCUGGGACUGGGACCCGGCCCAGGAUCCCUCCGGAAGGCACCGGAAGGGAACUUCGGGCAAUGGGGGAAACCCUGCCGGAGAACGGCGGGGGAGGGAAGGAGGUUUUCGGGUCCGAAAGCUCUGUUUUUAGGUAAGAAACGGUUUGGGGGUGGGAAGUUCACACUGGGACGGUAACUGAACAAGAAGGGACGGCUAACUACGUG